rnacentral:lncRNA from 1 species
CCACACUUACCCGUUAAUUUCUAAAUUUCGAACUACGUUGGUUUGAUCCCUUUGAAAGGGUACGUAGGCAACCUAGAGAUUCAAUCUAGAUGCAACCAUCCCAAACACAAUUUCAUAUCGAAUCCCUAGUUUAUUUAGCUAAAUUCACCCAAACACUCCUUAAUCAAAUUCAUUCAAAUUCCUCAUUUUGCGAUGAGUCAUUUAUUCAUUGUGAAUCUUUGAACUACGAGUGGCUUGAUUCCCGCAAGGGAUACGUAG